rnacentral:lncRNA from 1 species
UAGAACAAAACAUUGGAGACCCGUCGAGAGAUUCCACAUGGAUAACUAUCUGAGUGUCGGUGGUUAAUCUCUAACGUUCGGUAGUGAAAUUGGUCCUUUGACUUGAGGUCGUCAUGGUACCUUAUAUGAGGACAGUCAUACUUUGGCGGUGUUGGAUGUUGCUCUGAAAAGGGCCGCUAAUACGACAUCGUUCGGGUACGUCAAUAAUCGUAUGAAGGUUGUGAUUGAUCAAUAUAGGAUUCGUCACUCUUAGAUAGUAGGAGAUUAUGAUCUGCGUUUCAUUCAAUUAAGUCAAUGAUGAAAUCCUUGGCCAAGGUGUACUCAUAAGUCGAAAAGGAAUUUUCGAUUUAUAUUGACUUAAUAGUGGAGUGAAAGAUAUGAUCGAUGAUCGAGAUUGACACAACUCCAUAUCUCGUAAUUGAUCGGAUCAUAUUGACGAAGGGAUUAUAGUGUCACGGUAAACGAACGAAUUUGGUUUUGUCAUACCACGUGACAUUUCCCCUCACAUGUAUUGCCCUGACACAUUGCUAGAUGUCAAUCAGGGACGGCGAAUGUGAAUUGACGAUAAAUUAAAA